rnacentral:lncRNA from 1 species
UCCAAAAAUAAUAUUAUGCGAAAUUGAGUGCUUUUCUAAAAAAGAUAGUUUAAUUGGUCAGAGGUCGUCUUCAAGCUCCGGACCGGACUAAGAAACCCAACAUUUCUUUGGCAGCCUGGGACUAAUUUGAGAUCAAUUCUUUUCUUUUUGUCUGCGUCUACCCGAGGAUAAAUCGUGUUUUGGUCAGAAUAUUUUUUUUAGUUUUUUCUAUGCUUGGUCACGUUUUUUAGGUUGAGAUGGGUUGGGUAAAAUUUGACCGAUACCUAUGAUCCAAAUGGCUGUUUGAGUAAAAAAUUAAAGCUCGAGCCCACCGUGUGCACUAGUGAGGUCGGGUUAGGUGGCCCACGAUCUAAUUCGCACAAUUGCCCUUGCAACAGUAAGAUUUUUGUUGAAAUUGAGUUUUGAUUAAAUACACCCACCCAACCCUAUCCUACUCAAAAAUAAGAAAACAGAGGAAAAAUGAACUUUUGAUCAAACGGCUGUUAUUGGGUGGUUCCAUAUAAUUUGUAAGCAAAUGCAUCCUUACAUGGCAGCAAGACUCUUAUUCAGUGCACCAGCGCUUGUAAAGCAACAAAACUCAUCUUCUUCCUCCCCUAUAUGUUUGUUAUCUUCUUCCUCUUGUCCCAUUUAACGCCCAGCCCACUGCCAACCUCCACCGUCACCAACAGACGAAGUUGAUUCCACUCAGCUAGCUAACUCGCUUAGUAACUACCAGCACCGUGCGGCCCCACCUUUCCAUAAACCAUGC